GUGCUUGCCUCAACAGCAUAAAUACUAAAACUGGAAUGAAACAGAAGAUCAACAUGGCCUCCGAGCAAAGUUUACAUGCAAAUUCCUGAAAUGUUCUGCCUUUUA
ensembl:snRNA U6 U6 spliceosomal RNA